rnacentral:rRNA from 1 species
UACAGAGGUCUCAAGCGUUGUUCGGAUUCAUUGGGCGUAAAGGGUGCGUAGGCGGCGCGGUAAGUCGGGUGUGAAAUCUCGGAGCUUAACUCCGAAACUGCAUUCGAUACUGCCGUGCUUGAGGACUGGAGAGGAGACUGGAAUUUACGGUGUAGCAGUGAAAUGCGUAGAUAUCGUAAGGAAGACCAGUGGCGAAGGCGAGUUCCUGGACAGUUACUGACACUGAGGCACGAAGGCCAGGGGAGCAAACGGG